UUCGAAGCAACGCGAAGAACCUUACCAGGCCUUGACAUGCUAGGGAACCCGGGGUCGAAAGCCUGGGUGCCCGCGAGGGAGCCCUAGCACAGGUGCUGCAUGGCCGUCGUCAGCUCGUGCCGUGAGGUGUUGGGUUAAGUCCCGCAACGAGCGCAACCCUUAUCCCCAGUUGCCAUCAGGUAAAGCUGGGAACUCUGGGGAGACUGCCGGUGAUAAACCGGAGGAAGGCGGGGAUGACGUCAAGUCCUCAUGGCCCUUACAUCCCGGGCUACACACGUGCUACAAUGGCAGGUACAGAGGGCUGCGAAGCCGCGAGGUGGAGCGAAUCCCAGAAAACCUGUCUCAGUCCGGAUUGAAGUCUGCAACUCGACUUCAUGAAGGCGGAAUCGCUAGUAACCGCGAAUCAGCAGGUCCGCGGUCCGAAUACGUUCCGGCCUU
rnacentral:rRNA from 1 species